UACAGAGGGUGCUAGCGUUGUUCGGAAUCAUUGGGCGUAAAGGGCGUGUAGGCGGUUUGUUAAGUCAUGUGUGAAUCCCUCGGCUCAACCGGGGAACGACGCAUGAAACUGGCAGCUAGAGUACCAAAGAGGGGGGUGGAAUUCCCGGGUGUAGCGGUGAAAUGCGUAGAUAUCGGGAGGAACACCUGUGGGCGAAGGCGGCCCCCUGGUUGGAU
rnacentral:rRNA from 1 species